rnacentral:misc_RNA from 1 species
UACGUGUGGACCAAGCGUUGUUCGGAAUUACUGGGCUUAAAGGGAGCGUAGGCGGCCAGGUAAGUCAGGGGUGAAAGCCAGCGGCCCAACCGUUGGAUUGCCUCUGAUACUGCCCGGCUUGAGUGUGCGAGGGGGAAGCGGAACGUGUGGUGUAGCGGUGAAAUGCGUAGAUAUCACACGGAAGGCCGGAGCCGAAGGGGGCUUCCUGGCGCACAACUGACGCUGAGGCUCGAAAGCGUGGGGAGCAAACAGG